GCAAGAUACCACGGGCGCACGGCGGAUGCCUUGGCACAGGGAGCCGAUGAAGGACGCGGCAAGCUGCGAUAAUCCCCGGCGAGGAGCACACAUCCUUCGACCCGGGGGUCUCCGAAUGGGCGAACCCAUCCACAGAGGUGUGGAUAUCCCCACCCCGAACACAUAGGGGCGGGGAGGACAACCCGGGGAACUGAAACAUCUAAGUACCCGGAGGAGAGGAAAUCAAUCUCGAGACUCCCCGAGUAGCGGCGAGCGAAAGGGGACCGAUGGCCAAACCGUCGAGCGGGCAUACCCGGCAGGGGUUCCGCCGACGGGGUUGCAGGGCCGCGCAUCCGGGGGCUGCCGCCCCCGGGCGCAGGUCCGGCUGGGGAGCGGAACGGCAUGGGAGGGCCGGCCGCAGCGGGUGACAGCCCCGUACGCGAACCCAGACCGGACGGCGCGACGCGGUCCCUGAGUAGGGCCGGGCACGUGAAACCCGGUCCGAACCUGGGUGGACCACCAUCCAAGCCUGAGUACUACCCUGUGACCGAUAGCGCACCAGUACCGUGAGGGAAAGGUGAAAAGCACCCCGGGAGGGGAGUGAAACAGUACCUGAAACCGUGCGCCCACGAGCAGUCGGAGCACCUAUACGGUGUGACGGCGUGCCUUUUGUAGAAUGAGCCAGCGAGUCGCUGGCGCGGGGCGAGGUUAACCGAAAGGGAGCCGGAGCGAAAGCGAGCCUUAACAGGGCGACUUGAGUCCCGCGCCGCGGACGCGAAGCCGGGUGAGCUAUCCGUGGGCAGGCUGAAGCGGGGGUAAGACCCCGUGGAGGGCCGAACGCACGUCGGUUGAAAACGGCGGCGAUGACCUGCGGAUAGGGGUGAAAGGCCAAUCAAACCCGGAGAUAUCUCGUUCUCCCCGAAAUAGCUUUAGGGCUAGCGUCGCGCGUUCACCGCCGGAGGUAGAGCACCGGAUGGACGAGGGGGCUUCGCCGCCUACCGAAUCCAACCGAACUCCGAAUGCCGGCGGCCCAGAGCGCGGCAGUCAGAGCAUGUGGGCUAAGCUGUGUGCUCGAGAGGGAAACAGCCCGGACCGCCCGCUAAGGUCCCCAAGUUCCAGCCGAGUGGCAAAGGAUGUGCGUCCGCCCAGACAACCAGGAUGUUGGCUUAGAAGCAGCCAUGCAUUCAAAGAGUGCGUAACAGCUCACUGGUCGAGUGGACAUGCGCCGACAAUACACGGGGCUAAGCUGGACACCGAAGCGGCGGGAUUUUGAUUUUCAGAAUCGGUAGGGGAGCUUCCCAUGGGCGGUGAAGCCGCCGGGCGACCGGCGGUGGAGCGCAUGGGAGUGAGAAUGCUGGCAUGAGUAGCGAGAGACGAGAGAGUAACUCGUCCGCCGUGAACCCGAGGUUUCCUGGGCAAGGCUAAUCCUCCCAGGGUCAGUCGGGGGCUAAGGCGAGGCCGGAAGGCGUAGCCGACGCGCAGCAGGCAGACAUUCCUGCACCGCGCACGCGGCGCUACGACCGACGGGGCGACGGAUGGGGGUGGCUCGGCGGGGUUCUGGACGUCCCCGUGAUGGAGCGCGGCCCGCGGACCAGGGAAAUCCGGUCCGCACGAGGGCGAGGCUCCGGACGAAGCGAUCAAGCGAAGCGAGUGAGCCCGAGGUCCCUAGAAAAACCCCUAGGCAGGCGCGUGCGCGCCCGUACCGCAAACCGACACAGGUGGGUGGGUAGAACAUACCGAGGCGAUCGGGUCAACCAUGGUCAAGGAACUCGGCACAAUGGCCCCGUAACUUCGGGAGAAGGGGUGCCCGCGCGUACGUGAACGGACUUGCUCCGGGAGCGGAGGCGGGCCGCAGUGGAGAGGCCCAAGCGACUGUUUACCAAAAACACAGGACUCUGCAGAAGCCGCAAGGCGACGUAUAGGGUCUGACGCCUGCCCGGUGCCGGAAGGUCACGCGGAGGAGUUAGCCGCAAGGCGAAGCCCCGAAGCCAAGCCCCGGUAAACGGCGGCCGUAACUAUAACGGUCCUAAGGUAGCGAAAUUCCUUGUCGGGUAAGUUCCGACCUGCACGAAAGGCGCAACGACUUGGGCGCUGUCUCGACCAUGGACCCGGUGAAAUUGCACUGGUCGUGAAGAUGCGACUUACCCGCGGAAGGACGGAAAGACCCCGUGAACCUUCACUGCAGCUUGGCAUUGGCCGCUGGUCCCGCGUGUAGAGGAUAGGCAGGAGGCGAAGAUCCGGAGGCGCCAGCCCCCGGGGAGCCGCCCUUGGAAUACUGCCCUCGCGCGACCGGCGUCCUAACCCGAGGCCGUCAACCGGCUCGGGGACCGUGCCAGGCGGGCAGUUUGACUGGGGCGGUCGCCUCCUAAAGGGUAACGGAGGCGCGCGAAGGUCCGCUCGGGACGGUCGGCAACCGUCCUUUUGAAUGCAAGAGUACAAGCGGGCUUGACUGCGAGGCCCACAAGCCGAGCAGGUGCGAAAGCAGGCUCUAGUGAUCCGGCGGCCCCGAGUGGGUGGGCCGUCGCUCAACGGAUAAAAGGUACUCCGGGGAUAACAGGCUGAUCUUGCCCAAGAGUCCACAUCGACGGCAAGGUUUGGCACCUCGAUGUCGGCUCAUCGCAUCCUGGGGCUGAAGUCGGUCCCAAGGGUUGGGCUGUUCGCCCAUUAAAGCGGUACGCGAGCUGGGUUCAGAACGUCGUGAGACAGUUCGGUCCCUAUCCUCCGUGGGCGCAGGAGAAUCGAUGGAGGCUGCCCCCAGUACGAGAGGACCGGGGUGGACGCACCUCCGGUGAACCGGUUGUCGACCAACGGCACGGCCGGGUAGCCGCGUGCGGCGCGGAUAACCGCUGAAGGCAUCUAAGCGGGAAGCCGUUCCAGGGAUUAGUUCUCCUUCCGGUAAGGGCCCAGGUAGACUACCUGGUCGAUAGACGGCAGGUGCAAGGACGGCGACGUCCUCAGCCGAGCCGCACUAAUCGCCCGAGCUCUUCCGGAA
rnacentral:rRNA from 1 species